rnacentral:rRNA from 1 species
CCUACGGGGGGCUGCAGUGGGGAAUAUUGGACAAUGGGCGAAAGCCUGAUCCAGCCAUGCCGCGUGUGUGAAGAAGGCCUUCGGGUUGUAAAGCACUUUCAGUGGGGAAGAAAGCCUUGGGGCUAAUACCCUCGAGGAAGGACAUCACCCACAGAAGAAGCACCGGCUAACUCCGUGCCAGCAGCCGCGGUAAUACGGAGGGGGCGAGCGUUAAUCGGAAUUACUGGGCGUAAAGCGCGCGUAGGCGGUCUGAUAAGCCGGUUGUGAAAGCCCCGGGCUCAACCUGGGAACGGCAUCCGGAACUGUCAGGCUAGAGUGCAGGAGAGGAAGGUAGAAUUCCCGGUGUAGCGGUGAAAUGCGUAGAGAUCGGGAGGAAUACCAGUGGCGAAGGCGGCCUUCUGGACUGACACUGACGCUGAGGUGCGAAAGCGUGGGUAGCAAACAGGAUUAGAUACCCCGGUAGUC